AGGACGAACGCUGGCGGCGUGCUUAACACAUGCAAGUCGAGCGGUAAGGCCCUUUCGGGGGGUACACGAGCGGCGAACGGGUGAGUAACACGUGGGUGACCUGCCCUCAGCUCUGGGAUAAGCCUGGGAAACCGGGUCUAAUACCGGAUAUGACUCCAUGACGCAUGUUGUGGGGUGGAAAGCCUUGUGCGGCUGAGGAUGGGCCCGCGGCCUAUCAGCUUGUUGGUGGGGUGAUGGCCUACCAAGGCGACGACGGGUAGCCGGCCUGAGAGGGCGACCGGCCACACUGGGACUGAGACACGGCCCAGACUCCUACGGGAGGCAGCAGUGGGGAAUCUUGCGCAAGUGGGCGAAAGCCUGACGCAGCGACGCCGCGUGA
rnacentral:rRNA from 1 species